AACGAACGCUGGCGGCAUGCCUAACACAUGCAAGUCGAACGAGACCUUCGGGUCUAGUGGCGCACGGGUGCGUAACGCGUGGGAACCUGCCCUUAGGUUCGGAAUAACUCCCCGAAAGGGGUGCUAAUACCGGAUAAUGUCUUCGGACCAAAGAUUUAUCGCCUUUGGAUGGGCCCGCGUUGGAUUAGCUAGUUGGUAGGGUAAAAGCCUACCACGGCGACGAUCCAUAGCUGGUCUGAGAGGAUGAUCCGCCACACUGGGACUGAGACACGGCCCAGACUCCUACGGGAGGCAGCAGUGGGUAAUAUUGGACAAUGGGCGAAAGCCUGAUCCAGCAAUGCCGCGUGAGUGAUGAAGGCCUUAGGGUUGUAAAGCUCUUUUACCCGGGAUGAUAAUGACAGUACCGGGAGAAUAAGCUCCGGCUAACUCCGUG
rnacentral:rRNA from 1 species